AGAGUUUGAUCAUGGCUCAGGACGAACGCUGGCGGCGUGCUUAACACAUGCAAGUCGAACGGUGAACCACUUCGGUGGGGAUUAGUGGCGAACGGGUGAGUAACACGUGGGCAAUCUGCCCUGCACUCUGGGACAAGCCCUGGAAACGGGGUCUAAUACCGGAUACUGACCCCCGCAGGCAUCUGCGAGGUUCGAAAGCUCCGGCGGUGCAGGAUGAGCCCGCGGCCUAUCAGCUUGUUGGUGAGGUAAUGGCUCACCAAGGCGACGACGGGUAGCCGGCCUGAGAGGGCGACCGGCCACACUGGGACUGAGACACGGCCCAGACUCCUACGGGAGGCAGCAGUGGGGAAUAUUGCACAAUGGGCGAAAGCCUGAUGCAGCGACGCCGCGUGAGGGAUGACGGCCUUCGGGUUGUAAACCUCUUUCAGCAGGGAAGAAGCGAAAGUGACGGUACCUGCAGAAGAAGCGCCGGCUAACUACGUGCCAGCAGCCGCGGUAAUACGUAGGGCGCAAGCGUUGUCCGGAAUUAUUGGGCGUAAAGAGCUCGUAGGCGGCUUGUCGCGUCGGUUGUGAAAGCCCGGGGCUUAACCCCGGGUCUGCAGUCGAUACGGGCAGGCUAGAGUUCGGUAGGGGAGAUCGGAAUUCCUGGUGUAGCGGUGAAAUGCGCAGAUAUCAGGAGGAACACCGGUGGCGAAGGCGGAUCUCUGGGCCGAUACUGACGCUGAGGAGCGAAAGCGUGGGGAGCGAACAGGAUUAGAUACCCUGGUAGUCCACGCCGUAAACGGUGGGCACUAGGUGUGGGCAACAUUCCACGUUGUCCGUGCCGCAGCUAACGCAUUAAGUGCCCCGCCUGGGGAGUACGGCCGCAAGGCUAAAACUCAAAUGAAUUGACGG
rnacentral:rRNA from 1 species